UAUUACUGUAUUUGUGAAGAGCUGCUGGA
rnacentral:piRNA from 1 species